rnacentral:piRNA from 1 species
UGAAAGUCCCAUCCUCAGGUUUACCUGGC